UACAGAGGGUGCAAGCGUUGUUCGGAUUCAUUGGGCGUAAAGGGUGCGUAGGCGGCGCGGUAAGUCGGGUGUGAAAUCUUGGAGCUUAACUCCGAAACUGCAUUCGAUACUGCCGUGCUUGAGGACUGGAAAGGAGACUGGAAUUUACGGUGUAGCGGUGAAAUGCGUAGAUAUCGUAAGGAAGACCAGUGGCGAAGGCGGGUCUCUGGACAGUUCCUGACGCUGAGGCACGAAGGUCAGGGGAGCAAACGGG
rnacentral:rRNA from 1 species